GCUUUAGUGGUUCGGUGGUAGAAUUCUCGCCUCCCAUGUGGGAGACCCAGGUUCAAUUCCUGGCCAAUGCA
rnacentral:tRNA from 1 species